GAUGAACGCUGGCGGCGUGCUUAACACAUGCAAGUCGAACGAGGAUGCCGGAGUGCUUGCACUUUGGCAGACUGAGUGGCGGACGGGUGAGUAACGCGUGGGUAACCUGCCUUAUACAGGGGGAUAACAGUUGGAAACGACUGCUAAUACCGCAUAAGCGCACGGUAUCGCAUGAUACAGUGUGAAAAACUCCGGUGGUAUAAGAUGGACCCGCGUCUGAUUAGCUUGUUGGUGAGGUAACGGCCCACCAAGGCGACGAUCAGUAGCCGGCCUGAGAGGGUGAACGGCCACAUUGGGACUGAGACACGGCCCAAACUCCUACGGGAGGCAGCAGUGGGGAAUAUUGCACAAUGGGGGAAACCCUGAUGCAGCGACGCCGCGUGGAGGAAGAAGGUCUUCGGAUUGUAAACUCCUGUUGUUGAGGAAGAUAAUGACGGUACUCAACAAGGAAGUGACGGCUAACUACGUG
rnacentral:rRNA from 1 species